rnacentral:tRNA from 1 species
ACCAUGGCUCUGUGGCAGAGUAUUUGCUUUGCGCGCAGAAGGUCCUCGGUUCAGUCCCGAGGAUCUUCA